AUCUAUAAGAUGCUGCGAAUGUUGUUGCAAGAGAGAGAAACAUAUACAUUUAAAGAACUUUUAUUUAAAUUUUUUGAAUAUUGCCAAAAAAGUCCAAGUACUUUGGAGUUCUAUACAUACUUCAAACAAAAUUAUGGAAGUAAUACUGAGCAAUGGGCCUAUUGUUUUCGAUUAGGUAGUGGUCUCAAUACUAAUAUGCAUAUUGAGAGAAUGCAUAGAACCCUUAAGUAUCUCUAUUUGAAUGGAAAAUUUUUAAAAAGGCUGGACAAAGCCAUAGGAGCCAUUUUAAAAUUUGUUCGGGACAAAACUUUUGAAAGGCUUAUAGUAGUUCAUAAGGGAAAAGUCUGUACUAAAUUAUCUGACCUAAGGAAAAGGCAUAAAGUUAGUGAGACGCUUCAAACAAAUCAAGUUGUCAGAAUUGAUACUGGCUGGAUGGUUCCAUCGACUUCCAGCAAUGAAUUGUAUGUUGUAGAGGAACUGCAGUUAGAUUGUACUUGCAAACUCACAUGCAAUGAAUGCAAUGCGUGCAUUCAUCGCUACACAUGUUCCUGCAUGGACUGCAGCAUAAAAUGGAAUAAGUGUAAACAUAUUCAUUUAGUUUGCAGAUUUUCAAAGCUUAAUCCUGAUUUCAAUAAUCCUAAUGAAGCUACAGAGGUUUUAUCUGACCUGCAAGGACUAAAGUGAUAUAACAAGCUUCUGAAAAAAAUUAUACAUUUUUCAAUGUAAAGGUAUUAGUAAAGAUAAUUUAAUUAUUGAUCUCCAAGAGAAUGAACGAUUAAAUGAAACGGCCAACCUGGUAACGUCAGUCAGUAUCAAUAAAGCCAAGCUCACAUGUGAUGCAACUAAUGUUCUUUUUGAAGAAUAACAAAAAGUUUUGCAUGUCCUUCAGCAACAGGUCAUGGAUGUGAAGACACUGGACGAGUUGGAAACAAUUAAGAAAAUCAUUGCUCCUAUUCAACCCACUUUAAAAGCAAUGAGAAAUAUAACUAAUAAAAACUAUACUUUUCAGUUACCUUUAAACAUACCACAAAAUAAAAAGAUUGACCCACAGAGACGUUUAUUUCAAACGAAGAAGAAAACAAAAAAGAUUCCAAAGCACUUACCUCUCCCGUCUGCUAAUGAAAUGGAUGUAUUGGCAAUGAAACUACUACAUCCAAAAGGCCCAGGUGACCAGCAUUUCCAAUUAAAUAACUGUAUAUAAUAAAAUAAUAUACAAUUAAGAGUAAUUAUUUUGUUAUUUUUAAAAAAAUAAAGAUG